GGGGCUAUGGCACAGCUGGUUAGCGCGCUACCUUGACAUGGUAGAGGUCACAGGUUCGAGUCCUGUUAGCCCCA
rnacentral:tRNA from 2 species